AUUGAACGCUGGCGGCAGGCCUAACACAUGCAAGUCGAACGAAUGGCGGACGGGUGAGUAAUGCUUGGGCAUCUGGCUUAUGGAGGGGGAUAACGACGGGAAACUGUCGCUAAUACCGCGUACCACAGGAUGAGUCCGAGUGGGAUUAGGUAGUUGUUGGGGUAAUGGCCUACCAAGCCGACGAUUCCUAGCUGGUCUGAGAGGAUGACCCGCCACACGGGGACUGAGACACGGCCCGGACUCCUACGGGAGGCAGCAGUGGGGAAUAUUGCACAAUGGGGGCAACCUGACGCAGCCAUGCCGCGUGAAUGAAGAAGGCCUUCGGGUUGUAAAGUUCUUUCGGUGACGAAGCGUUAAUCACAGAAGAAGCACCGGCUAACUCCGUGCCAGCAGCCGCGGUAAUAC
rnacentral:rRNA from 1 species